rnacentral:rRNA from 1 species
GACGAACGCUGGCGGCGUGCUUAACACAUGCAAGUCGAACGAUGAAGCCGGAGCUUGCUCUGGUGAAUUAGUGGCGAACGGGUGAGUAACACGUGAGUAACCUGCCCUUGACUCUGGAAUAACUGCGGGAAACUGUAGCUAAUACCGGAUACGACCCUCGGAGGCAUCUCCUGGGGGUGGAAAGAAUUUCGGUCAAGGAUGGACUCGCGGCCUAUAACCAAGGUUGUGAGGUAAAGGCUCCCCAAGGCGACGACGGGUAGACGGCCUGAGAGGGGGACCGGCCACACUGGGACUGAGACACGGGCCAGACUCCUACGGGAGGCAGCAGGGGGGAAUAUUGCACAAUGGGCGCAAGCCUGAUGCAGCAACGCCGCGUGAGGGAUGACGGCCUUCGGGUUGUAAACCUCUUUUAGCAGGGAAGAAGCGAAAGUGACGGUACCUGCAGAAAAAGCACCGGCUAACUACGUGCCAGCCGCCGCAGUAA